GGUUGUGACUCAGUGGGUAGAGCACUUGCCUAGCAUGUGUGAGGUACUGGGUUCAAUUCUCAGCACCG
rnacentral:tRNA from 1 species